AAUAGAUACCCGGGUAGUCCACGCCGUAAACGAUGGAUGCUAGCUAUUGGGGGGAAUCGACCCCCUCCGAAGCGAAGCUAACGCGUUAAGCAUCCCGCCUGAGUAGUACGAGCGCAAGCUUAAAACUCAAAGGAAUUGACGGGGACCCGCACAAGCGGUGGAGCGUGUGGUUUAAUUCGAUGGUAAACGAAGAACCUUACCAAGGUUUGACAUCCCGGUAGCCGUUCUCCGAAAGGAGAAUUUCAUUUAGUUGGACCGGUGACAGGUGAUGCAUGGCCGUCGUCAGCUCGUGUCGUGAGAUGUUGGGUUAAGUCCCGCAACGAGCACAACCCUUAUGAUUUAGUUGGAUUUUCUAAACAGACUGCCCUGGUAACAGGGAGGAAGGAGGGGAUGAUGUCAGGUCAGUAUUUCCCUUACACCUUGGGGCGACACACGCGCUACAAUGGCCGGUACAAUGGGCAGCUAAGCCGCGAGGUGGAGCAAAUCCCAUCAAAGCCGGUCCCAGUUCGGAUUGCAGGCUGAAACCCGCUGCAUGAAGCCGGAAUCGCUAGUAACC
rnacentral:rRNA from 1 species